rnacentral:rRNA from 1 species
UACGGGGGGGGCAAGCGUUGUUCGGAAUUACUGGGCGUAAAGGGCUCGUAGGCGGCCAACUAAGUCAGACGUGAAAUCCCUCGGCUUAACCGGGGAACUGCGUCUGAUACUGGAUGGCUAGAGUGUGGGAGAGGGAUGCGGAAUUCCAGGUGUAGCGGUGAAAUGCGUAGAUAUCUGGAGGAACACCGGUGGCGAAGGCGGGUCUCUGGGCCGAUACUGACACUGAGGAGCGAAAGCGUGGGGAGCGAACAGG